rnacentral:rRNA from 1 species
UGUUAUAGGUAGCAGAACGCUCUGGAUUUAAUAAAGAUGUUAACACUACCAGAGUUGAGACUGCUGACAUAAGUAACCUCAAAUGGAUAUCAUGGCCGUAAGUCCAAGGUUUUGCGAUAAAUCAGUGAUACGAACAUUACGACAGUUUUAUAA